CCCCUUUUAUUUAAUGAAAGUUUACAAUACUGUGGGGAACUCCCCCAUAGUUUUUUCUUGUCAAAAAAAUAUACUAGUAUUGUAGUGUGUUUAGUACUCAUGCUGCUAUAUUGUAUCUAGUCUUCCUGGUGUGUAAUUAAGUAGCAACCGUGUCUAUAUGGCCUCUAGCUCGAGUGGCUAAGGACAACCUGAGGCACUCCCAUGGUCCUGGGUUCGACCCCCCUCGGCGG
rnacentral:lncRNA from 1 species